UCUUAUCAUUUUAUAUUACUUGUGCAACUCGGUACACUUGCCGAUUUGCCCCAAUAAGUUUUUGGCGUGGUUACCGGGACUCACGGUUUAAGCUAUUCUAUUUGUGUGAUUCUAGAUUAAUUUUGAAUUUAUUUUAUUUUUAUUUUCUUAUUUUUAUUUUUCCAUUUUUAUUUUUUCAAUCCCUAAUUUCUAUUUUUGUACUAACAAUCUCUCUAGAAUUUUUGUGCAAGCCUCACAAUAUGAUAUAACAGGAUGCACUUCUACUAAGGUGAUUUCAACUACUAGUGGGAACCUUACCCAGGCACAAAUCAAAGUCAAUAUGGUCAAGUUGGUGGGCUAUUCACUAGACCACCACAAGCCAACAGUACUACAAAGCUUGAAGAGACUCUCCAGCAAUUCUUACAAGAAUCCUUCUCAAUUCAGAAACGCACCCAAGCGGUAUCCGAAAGGAUGAAGGCAGAUUUUGAC
rnacentral:lncRNA from 1 species